rnacentral:rRNA from 1 species
ACGAACGCUGGCGGCAUGCCUAACACAUGCAAGUCGAACGAGACCUUCGGGUCUAGUGGCGCACGGGUGCGUAACGAGUGGGAACCUGCCCUUAGGUUCGGAAUAACUCCCCGAAAGGGGUGCUAAUACCGGAUAAUGUCUUCGGACCAAAGAUUUAUCGCCUUUGGAUGGGCCCGCGUUGGAUUAGCUAGUUGGUAGGGUAAAAGCCUACCAAGGCGACGAUCCAUAGCUGGUCUGAGAGGAUGAUCAGCCACACUGGGACUGAGACACGGCCCAGACUCCUACGGGAGGCAGCAGUGGAGAAUAUUGGACAAUGGGCGAAAGCCUGAUCCAGCAAUGCCGCGUGAGUGAUGAAGGCCUUAGGGUUGUAAAGCUCUUUUACCCGAGAUGAUAAUGACAGUACCGGGAGAAUAAGCACCGGCUAACUCCGUG